GUCCAGUCCGUAUGGUGCUGCUGGGGAAGAGGCUGCAUGGCGAAGUAGUGUCCCGAGCGCAGGCUGGCGGCGUCCGGGGAGCCCGGGAGUCGAAGAGAGCGGCCGAAUCGAUGGCAACUAUCAAAAGGAAAUAGGAUCAUGGCAGCAGAUGAUGAAAAUGGUGAUGGAACAAGUUUAUUUGAUGUCUUCUCUGCUUCUCCUCUUAAAAAUAAUGAUGAAGGUUCUUUGGACAUAUAUGCUGGGUUGGACAGUGCUGUUUCUGAUAGUCCUUCCAAGUCCUGUGUACCACCCAGAAAUUGUUUGGAUUUAUAUGAAGAAAUUCUUACUGAAGAAGGAACUGCAAAGGAGGCAACAUAUAAUGACUUGCAAGUAAAAUAUGGAAAAUGUCAGCUACAAAUCAAAGAGCUGAUGAAAAAGUUCAAGGAAAUACAGACACAGAAUUUCAGCUUAAGAAAUGAAAACCAGUCUCUUAAGAAGAAUAUUUCAGCACUUAUCAAAACUGCUAGAAUGGAAAUAAACCGCAAGGAUGAGGAAAUAAGUAAUCUUCACCAAAGAUUGUCUGAGUUUCCACAUUUUCGAAAUAAUCGUAAAACUUCAAGGACAUCGGAUAUGGUUAAAACGAAAGAUCUUACAUCUAGAUCUCCCCAUGUGGAUGAUUGUGCAAAGACUGAUCACAGAGUUAAAUGUGAUGUUUCUAAAGAUGGACAUCAUAGCACUUCGCUGCCAAACAUCGAAAAGGAAGUAAAACUGCAUUUGGAAAAAAAAAGCACUUUGCAUUUGCCUUCAUCUGUUGAAAAACACUGCACCAAUGGCAUUUGGUCACGUUCCCAUUAUGAGGUUGGUGAGGGUAGCUCAAAUGACGAUAAUAGAAGAGGGAAAAAAGAUAGUGGAUAUAGCCAAUAUAGUAGAGGAAAUGAUAGAAUACGAAAAGACUUAAACACUAGCUGUGGUGAUGGUGAACCAAGGAACACAGAGGCUAUUCAAAGGCUACAAGGACGUCCUGAGAAAUAUGGUAAAGGUGAACCAAAGACUGAAAGCAAAAAUUCAAAGUUUAAAAGUAACACAGAUUUGGAUUAUAAAAAUGAACGCUUUGGCUCUUCCUGGCAGAAGGAUACCUUUAGAGAGAGGUCACACACUCGAGUAGAAUCUCAAAGUGACAGAAAACUAGAAAGGCAAAGUGAAAGAUCACAAAAUAUAAAUAAAAAAGAACUUAAAUCACAAGACAAAGAAGAAAGAAAAAUUGAUCAAAAACCUAAAUCAGUAGUAAAAGACCAGGAUUAUUGGAGAAGGUCUGAACGAGUAUCAUCUCUUCCUCAUUCCAAGAAUGAAAUAAAAUCUCAUAAUUCAAGUAAAUACCAUCUAGAAGAGAAAAGAGAAAGGGAAGAUGGUAAAAGAGACCGGGGUAUAAGUAAUCAUAGUUUUCAAGAAGGAAGAUAUUCAUCCUUUCUUUCAACCAGUAGAACUCACAAACACAUUGACUCCAAGGAAGUUGAUGCUGUGCACCAAAGGGAAAGUAUACCUUUUGAGGCAGAGAGGCAUAGAACUGAAGAUAAGAGGAAAAGAGAACAAGAAAGCAAAGAAGGAAACAAGUAUAUGAGAAGUGAAAAAAGAACACCUACAGGACAUUUGCAGAAGACUAAUAAAGAAACUAAAAAGACCACUACUGAUUUAAAGAGACAGAAUGGACCAAAAAAUGAUAAAGGUGAAGUCCAUAGUAAUGAUGUUUCUGAAGGUACAGAUAAUAAAGAUCUUGCAGUUAAAGCUGAGAGUGGUUCAAAUGAAACAAAAAGCAAAGACUUAAAGUUGAGUUUUAUGGAAAAAUUGAACUUAACUCUUUCUCCUGCUAAAAAGCAGCCUGUUCCUCAGGGUAAUCAGCAUAAAAUAAUCAGUACUCCCAAAUCCAGUGGUGUAGGUGAUUUGGAAUCCUUGGUACAGGAUAAAACAGUGACAUGUGUUCCCUCUGUGAAUGAACAUAUCACAGAGGAAACCAGAUCAAAGUUAUUGGAACCAAAAGAUGCUCUUGCAACAGCACCAUCUGAAUCCAGGACCAGUAUUUCAGAACAGAAAAGGGAAGAAGAAAAUAGUUUGUUAGUUAAAUCUGUUGAGAAUACUAUGCAUUGUGACUUGCCUAUUUGUGGUACAGAGACUUCUUCCUCAGCACCUGUGGAAAUGGAACAAACAGAAUCUUUGUUUCCAUCAGCAGCAGAAAAGGAACAAACCAUUGAUGGUGCAAGGACAGCAGCUCCUGUGGUACUGGACAUAUUACAAACAAAUGUUUCUCAAAACUUUGGCUUAGAAUUGGAUAACAAAAUAAAUGACAGUUUAAAUGCUUGUAGUAUUUCUGAAGAUAUGGAAAUGAAGGAGGCUUUUUCAACAAAAGUGGCCAAAUCCAAUGAAAGUGUUUUGCAGCCUUUAGUGGAAAAAGCUGGCAUUUUGCCAGUGGUUCUUUCAGAAGUUGGUAGCCCAAAGUUUGAGCCUUCUCUUGUAGAUAAAUCACUUGUUGGGAGUAAGUCUUGUCAUUUGGAACCUUGCUUACCUAAAGAAACUCCAGAAUCUUCACUUCAGCACACUGAGUUAAUGGACCACAAAAUGGAAAUUGGUGAAACCAACUCAGUAUAUAACGAUGAGAACUCGGUUCUGAGCAUUGACCUUAAUCACCUAAGACCUAUUCCAGAAGUCAUUAGUCCUCUGAAUAGUCCAGUGAGACCUGUAUCGAAAGUGCUUAGAUUGGAAAGCCCAUCUCGAGUUCCAUUAUAUAACAGUCAUAAAGAUGUGUUUCCACCAAAUUCAGCUCAUUCUACCUCCAAGAGUCAGUUUGAUCUCAACAAGGAAAAUCAAAAGCCAGUUUGCAAGUCUGACAAGUUUACAGAGGCAAACUCUCAUAAGAAUUCAUCUUUAGAUGAAUUAGAAGAAGGAGAAAUUAUAAGUGACAGUGAAAACUCUAAACCACAAAAAAGUUUUGAAAACAAUGCCAAACCUAGAGCUUCUACUGAAGUGCAGAAUAGAAAGACUAGCCCAGGAAGUAGGAAAAGUACUGUGCAUUUGGAUAAAGACAAUAGGAAAACAUCUUCUAUAAAAAUUCAGCAGACCAAAAGGAAAUGGAAUAAGAGACAGAGUGAAUCUAGCAAGUCUUCAAAAAUAGAGAAAAAAGAUAAGACAAUGAGCACCUCCAUCCUGGAAAAAAUAGUUCCAAUUAUUGCUGUACCUUCUUCUGUGCGAGAAGUUAUGCACAUGUUACGAAUGAUAAGAAAACAUGUAAGGAAAAACUACAUGAAAUUCAAGGUAAAAUUUCCAUUGAAACAAUUUCACAGAAUUAUUGAGUCAGCAAUUUUGAGUUUUACAUCUCUCAUUAAACACCUUGACUUAUCCAAAAUCUCUAAGUCAGUGACUACUUUACAGAAGAAUCUCUGUGAUGUUAUAGAAUCCAAACUUAAGCAAGUUAAAAAGAAUGGCAUAGUGGAUCGUUUAUUUGAACAACAACUACCAGAUAUGAAAAAAAAAGCAUGGAAAUUUGUAGAUGAACAACUUGAUUAUUUGUUUGCAAAGCUUAAGAAAAUCUUAAUAAAGUUUUGUGAUUUCACAAACUUUGGCAGUGACAGUGAUGACGGGAAAUUUGAAAAAAAUAAAGAGAAAACACAGUAUUCAAAUUCUCAGAAGGGGAAUGUGGUCAGCUUAAGCAAAGAAAUGCCGAAAGAGAAAUCCUCAAAAUCAGAAGAUUAUAUUUAUUAUAGGUCUUCACUAGGAUGUAAAAAAUCUGAGGAAAAACAUCAGGACCAAAAUAACUCCAAUAUUAACACAGUAAAGCAUGAUAUUAAAAAAAACUUGAACACUUGCUUUGAUAAUAAGUGCUCGCAAUCUGAAGAGCAUUUCUUGGAACUGAACUGUCCGAGCACCCCAAAGCCAGGAAGAGUGGAAGGCAGCACCAUAGAGGAUACACAGACAUCCCAGCAUGCUGCUUUGAAGCCAGAACGCUGCUUUGAGAUUCUUACUGAACAGCAAGCAUCUAGCCUCACUUUUAAUUUAGUGAGUGAUGCACAAAUGGGGGAGAUAUUUAAAAGUUUGUUGCAAGGUUCUGAUCUUUUGGACAACAGUGUUAACUGUAAUGAAAAAAGUGAGUGGGAGUUAAAGACUCCAGAAAAACAGCUGCUAGAGAGUCUUAAGUGUGAAUCCAUCCCAGCUUGUACAACGGAAGAGCUAGUUUCAGGGGUGGUUUCUCCGUGUCCUAAAAUGAUUAGUGAUGAUAAUUGGUCAUUAUUAUCAUCUGAAAAAGGUCCAUCUCUGUCUUCAGGACUUUCAUUGCCAGUUCAUCCCGAUGUGUUGGAUGAAAGUUGUAUGUUUGAAGUUUCCACUAACAUAGCUUUAAGUAAAGAUAAUGUCUGUAGUUCAGAAAAGAACAAGCCCUGCAUUUCUUCCAUACUGCUUGAAGAUCUAGCGGUAUCUUUAACAGUACCAUCACCUCUGAAGUCAGAUGGCCAUCUCAGUUUCUUAAAGCCUGAAGCUUUGUCUAGUUCAACUCCUGAAGAAGUUAUUAGUGCUCACUUUAGUGAAGAUGCCUUACUUGAGGAAGAGGAUGCAUCUGAACAAGAUAUUCACUUAGCUCUGGAGUCUGAUAAUUCAAGCAGUAAAUCAAGUUGUUCUUCAUCAUGGACAAGCCGGUCUGUUGCUCCAGGUUUUCAGUACCACCCUAAUCUACCCAUGCAUGCUGUCAUAAUGGAGAAGUCCAAUGAUCAUUUCAUUGUGAAAAUACGGCACUCAGCACCAUCUACCUCCCCUAGUCUUAUACAGAAUAUGGUGGCUAGUGAGUCAUUUACAUCUUUGCCCAGAGAGGGAAAGGAAACUGAUGAAGCAGCAGAGAAGGAAUGUGUUUCCUGUCAGAACACAGAUUUCAAAUCUAUGGAGGAAUUAAAACUUUCCAAUGAAAAUGUUGACAGCAGUAAAUCAGCUCAUGAAGAACAGGGCUGUAUGAUACAAACACAGGUACCUGAUAUAUAUGAAUUCCUUAAAGAUGCUUCAGGUAAAGUAGAUCAUAGCAAUGAAGUGGCUGAUGAGUGUUUCAAGUUGCAUCAAGUAUGGGAACCAAAAGUGCCUGAAAACAUUGCAGGAUUGCCUCCCAUGGAAGAAAUUCCACGUUCUGUUGAGGGUCAUCUUCCAAACACAUAUGUAGACCUCACAAAAGAUCCAGUCACUGAGACUAAAAACUUGGGGGAACUCAUAGAAGAAGUAGGAGUUUUAAACAUUAAUCAGUUGGGAUGUUCUGGAAACAAUUUGGAUCAAAAUGCUCAGAUACUAGACAGUGUGCAGCCUGAUGCUGUAGAUGCAUUUAUUGACUUGACACAGGAUGUUUCAAGUGAGAGUAAAAGUGAAGAUAACCAUCCUGCUUUAGCUGUUGGACACUUGGGUUGUCAGGUGUUUUAUGUAGGUGAAGAUGACUGUAAAGAAGAAAAGGUGCAAGAGCCUUUAGAAUGCAUGGUUGAGGAAGCCUGUAUCGAUUUGACCUCAGACUCUCCCAGUUCAUGUGAAGUCAAAAAGGAGGAUUUAAAAUCAGAACCGGCAUCAAAUUCUGAUAGUUCAGAGUUGCCUGUGUCUUUGGAUAAUGCUCACAAAAAGAGAAAAAACCUUUCUGAUCUAAAUUAUUCUUGUCAGAAAAAACAGAGAAAGGAAACAGACUUAACCAGCAAGGAAAAGACCAAGAAAAUGACCCAAAAUUCUGGUGAGACUGGUGAAGCUCACCAAAGGAAAUCCUGUAAGAAAAAGGCCCCUGCAGUGGCUAAUGAUCCCUCAUCGUUAAAGGCAAGCCCAGGGAUUAAGGGCCCAUCAGCAGCAUCUGGCACUUCUCCCAUAAACCUUUCUGCAAAGAAUAUUAUUAAAAAGAAGGGAGAAAUUAUAGUUUCGUGGACAAGAAAUGAUGACCGGGAAAUUUUAUUGGAGUGUCAGAAAAGGGGGCCAACAAUGGAAACAUUUUCGUAUGUAGCUGCCAAGUUGAAUAAAAAUUCAUCUCAGGUCUCAGAAAGAUUUCAGCAGCUAUUGAAGCUCUUUGAAAAGUCAAAAUGCAGAUAAGUUGCUGAAUUCCUUGGAGUCUUAAUUGCUAUUGCAUACUACAAAGAAGCUUGGAAUUCCUCAUGUUUUAAAUGGGGAUGUAGAGGGCAAUUUUAUGACAUUUGAUUACUAGAUAAUCUGCAUUUGUUAUUACUUGCUGACUCGUUACUCUCUGGUCAGCUUGUUCCAGUCAUUGUCUGAUUUGUGUAUCUGUUAUUGGUCAAGAUACUUAUUUUUAAACAGCAGGUACUAGCACAGUGAACCAGACCUCUGCUGCAGGUAUCCUCACAGAUAAAAUCAGGGCAGCGCAGAAGCCCUUGGGGGUCAAGAUUUGGG